rnacentral:tRNA from 1 species
GCCCCGGUAGCUCAGUGGUAGAGCGCGGACAUACCCUAGUUGCAGGCAACUGGGAUAAUGGCCCGAGGUCACGGGUUCGACACCCGUCUGGGGCUCCA